UGCACGGCGAUGCGACUGAACAACCUCGAGUGGAAAUCGAAAUACAUGGGCUGACCUCCCAAGUGCCUCCUGCCGGGAAUGAAGGAGGAGCAUGGGAGGUUGGGGAGCUGAGCAAAGCACCCUCGCUCCUGUGCCAUAGUGGGCAGGUGGUCCCAAACCGGGAUUGGGGAGGCAAAGCUGUUCUCUGUGCUCCACAGCAUUAUUUGUGCCACAGACAGGUGCUUUGGAUGGAGUAGAAGACAUAUAGGGAGCAACCUGUGUGGAACCGGGAAGCUCAGUGAUGCUGGCUCUUGCUGAAAUAUGGGCUGGUUUGUAAUGCUAACGGAGGGUGUCCUGCUGGGGUUUCUUGCAGCUGCAUCAGAGUUUUGAGCUACUUGGAAAGAGAUUGCACGUAAUAGGUAUUAGGAUAUUAGGAGUGUGCAUGGGAUUUUUGCUUUUUAAUUUACACAUCCAGCUUUCCAGUUCUGGGAUGCCAUUAAUGUUCUUAUCCAGAAUUACCAUGUUUAAGGAGUGAGGUUUUCUUACCCGUGCGACAAUGUGUGCUUUGUGAGAUUUGAAUGGGCAAAUCCCAGCAGUGUGUUUUGGCUGUAAGAACUUACAUUUAGAUGAAGGCAUCACUAGCUCAGCUCUCACAAACACGUUCAAUUAUCUUAUUUUGAGAUUAAAGGGUUAGCAGUUUAGGGGCUGCUUUCUUAAAGCAUCCUAAAAUGCAGGGGAAACGCACGGUGUAUGGGAAGAAGCGGUGACACAAAGUAGCUUGCUAACGAACCCUCGUCUCAUCGUGCGUGCGGCGGUGGGAUGAUUUCCUAUGACUCAUCAGAUCAGAUAAUGCGCAGUGUGCAAUGGAUGAAAGGGGUGGCGGGGCUGGGAGCAGAGCCUGUGCCUCCUGCUGUGGGGACAGGCAGACGGGGGCAUGGCUGCUCGCUGCCCCAAGCAGGGAUUUCUGCUGUGGGAUGUUCAAAGGGAGCACCGCAUCCCUGGGGGCCUGUGGAAACCAGAACUUCAGUAGUUCUGUUGGACAUUGCACUUAGGAAAGAUGCUGGCCAAAGGAAAGCCUUUUAAUUGCAGAGUGGCUGUUUUGCCCUUUUACGUCAACACUUCCUGCUUUCUCAGGGGCAGAAAUUCUGCUCCUGAAUAACUAACUGUUACACCUGCCCAGGACUGAUGAUGUUUUCCCCAUUGCAGAAAGCCAGGAUGUGCAGCAUCGGUGGACAUGCAAGGCCCCUGGCCGUGUCCUGCUGGUGCCCCCAGAGCCCCGCAGCACAGAGCUGACCCUGCAAAAGGGCUCCUGAUGGUGGUUUUGUGCACUCAUCGUUGGAAGCCUCAGGCAGAAAAUGUUAAUUUCUAUUGGUACUUGCUGGAACAGUGCGUAAUUAGUAGUCAUGGCCCUGCGAGGCUAUUUGUGGAGGAGUCAUCCUCACGCAAAAGCCCUUGGCCUGGCUGUAGUGAGGCCUACUUCGGAAUUCAACCUCACCCAAUUAACAUAUUCUGCCAAAUAUAUCAUUAAUGAGCAGAGUAGACUGCACUGGUGCUUUCUUUUAGAUGCACUGACCCUUCCUUUCCUGCAAACCCGCUGCAGCUGGUGGCCCUGGCUUGUUCUUAAUGACUGGAGCUCCCUGUGCCUGUCCCACGCUGCCAGCAGGACCUGGGAGCUGCAGAGAAGGCCCCUUGAAGGAGGUGGGAGGGCAGCUCCCCAGCGGCAGCUGUGCACCAGCGGCACGGGACGUGAGAGGCUGCUCCCGGCUCGCUGAAGCAGUUCAGUGAUGCAGUGAAUGUGCAUGACACCUGCUUGAUUUUUCUGAGCACCCUGACCUCUGUCUGACCACAUCCCCAGCAUGCAUGCAGCUGGAUGGGGGGGCUGGGCUGGGGGAACGCAUUUUCCUUCUUGCCAAGGAAGCUGCUUGAAGGUGGAUUUUGUUUUCAAGUGUCAGCUCCCGCUGCCCAGGGACGUAGCUGACAUCAAUUUGCCUGGCUGAGGUACUGCUCAGUAACAGCUGUGUGGCAGUCAGCUGCAGCACCAUUCACUAGAUGAGCAUCAGAAGAAUGUGACGAGGAUUUUGCAGGCCAAAAGUAGGAGUAAUUGCAGAACUCGCAUGCCUGGGUAAGCCUCCAUCAGCAGCAAUAGCCCUUCCUUCCCGCCCAGCGAGGCUUUCCAACAAAAUGAGGGACGCCAGCUAAUAAGGCUCUCCUGGGCUAAACGACUUUAAUAACUUUUACUAAUUUCAGUACCUUUUCAUGCAACGUGUAAUUAAAUUAUGAGGCUCCUUGCCAUAGGAUGUUAUGGAGGACUGAGUUAUAAAUGGAUUCUGAAAAGGAUUAGGCAAAUUCAUUUUGGCUAUGAAACACGGCCGUUCGGGUACAACCUCCGGCUCAGAAAGUCCCGAAACCUUCAAUUCCAGGAAGCCCGUACUGGCAUGAGGAAGAUAACACAGCAGAAAGCAGAGUGGAAAAACCAAAACUGUGGAAACUGGCCCAAACACUUGCUGUGCAGUAGAAGUCAAAUGUCUGCAAUCUGAUCCAACUUAAAAUGAGUUUUAGUGCAUUAAUCAAGAGGAUCACCUUUUUUUUCCCUUCCAAAUUUGAAUUUAUAGCAUGCCAUCAGUCACUAGCCUCAAGCCAUAACCAAGAUUAAUACCAGCUGAUGUGUGCAUGCCACUACUAUGUUGAUAGUGAAACAAAACUUUCCCUGGUUUAUUUGCCUCUCCCGCAAGGAAUUCAGUCUUUCAGACCUCCCUCUCAGCCAAGACCACUUUUAAUAACAUUUAUUUAUGUUUGCUAGUCAUGAAGCAUCUAAAUAGUGUUUCAUACAAAAACCUUUAAAUAAGAACAGGAGUGUUUCAUGGUAUUUAUAUUUCUGUAAAGAAGGUGACACUGGCAUGCGGACAAGUUGUGGCUCAGUAUUAUACGUUAACAAAAGAUCAUCCAUGAAAUGUUCACUGUAACAAAAGCAAUAUUCAGUAAUGAGGAAGAUUAGUUUUCAGUGGGAUUUAAUUUCAUUUUCAAAGUAGUAUUUUGAAUUUCAGCAAACUUUUCUGGUUUCCCUUGAAUGCAAGCAAACACCUUGUUGUGUUGAGCUGCCUUCUUUUCCUCAACAAACCCCACAUUUAGCCCUAACACAGGCAGAGGAUUCACAAGAUUAUUUUGCAUUAGAGGAGUGCUAUCUUUAGUGAGAGAAAUUAAAACAAAGGGGCUGCAGGCCAAAGUGCUAGAGCCUGGAGAAGUCGUAGAUUAAGCUAUAUUAUAAUUGCUAGAUUACCUGCUGGGAGCUAUGAGCAGUUAAUUCUUUAAUUUUAUGCUGUGUUUUUAAGGUAGUUUGAGGUUCUCUACAACCUCACACAUCAAGAGGUUUUGAAAGUAGACAUUGAAACAGGAUGUUAGGAACUGUUACGGGUGCGUUGGAAAUCAUCCCUGGCAGCCUGGGGAGGCAGACCAACAGGAAGCAUGCAAAGCGGCUUUUAGGGAUGGUUAGGUCCGCUGCUUUAUGCAAAGGAUUUGGGGAAGUCAGACAUCAGUUGGCUCCUAGGUGGUCCCACCAGGCAAAAGCACUACAUGUUGCCUGACUCCCAUGAAAGACAGGGGAAAGACAGGAGUUUAGAUCCUUGAAAACAGCUCCCAGGCCAUGCCAAGGCUGAAAAAGAUUUCUGGAACUGGCUAGAAUUGGUUCAUCUCUGAUCGCACAGUUUGGUAGAGGCUUAAUCCUAGGCCUGACCACAGACAUGACACAGCCUUUGCAGUGCCCUCUAGGGCAUUCUCUGUGUGCUAGAUGGCCUGUGGGCACAGGCCCUUCUGCCUGAAAAGUUAUGUGCAAUGGCAGGAUGGGCUGAAAAUUGCCCCAAGGUCCUUUGCUAUCUUCUGGUCUUACGUUUAUGGGACUGGGGCAUGACACCAGCAAAGAAAACAUCAGUAUUGAUCAAGACCUACAAGUGUUUGAUGUAGGUUGUUCCACAGAAAAGCAGAGAAAAAAUAGCCGAAGGAGGCCGGUUGCUCAUUCCUAAGCUCUAGGCCUCAAGCACAGGGGAGAAUGAAAGGAUUUCCAGGUGCACAUUUCCAGCAGUCCUGACAGCAGUUAUUUAAAAUUAAUCCUUGCCUUGCUCAGCUUACGUCGCGCCACAAGCGGGCCUGCACAAGGCCGUGGAGUGGAGAGCUCUCCCACAUGAAGGAAGGGCUGGGUUCCGCCACCUCUCCUGAAGGCAGGAGAGCUGCUGCUUGUGCCUGUGUUGGUGCUGCAGUGCAGAGCACUUGUCUGAAGGGCUUUGGAGGUGAUAUACAAAAGUGGUGUUGAAGUACACACCAACUUCAGUAUCUGUUAGUCAUUAUUCAAAUACUGAGCCAUGCUAGGUUGGCAGUAGGAGCACUGAGGGUCCAUGAUAGCUGCCGAGAGUAAAUAUAUGUUUUAUUUUAAUUCUUAAGUGCUGCUUAUUCUCCUCUAUUAGCUUGUGUAGAGGGUGAGGGAAGCCCAGUGAGGGCCUCAGUGUACUCACUCAGAGCACCCACUCAGAGCACUCACCUCAUCUAUGUAAUGCAGCACAGCAUGCAAUACUACUUGUGUUUUGGGGACAGCAGGUGUCUUCAUUUCAACAGCACAACCAAGCUGCAAAACUUCGAAAGGAAUUUUGAAGGUAUUCUAAUGUCUUUCACUUAACGCACACACACAGAGUUUAAGAACAGUUCUCCAAGUUUUCAGGGCAUGUUGAAAUAAAACCACAUGAAACCAUUAGAAGAACACAGACAUGCUCACUCGACUUUGAAAGCCCCACUCCUUUCUCAGAACCCUGCCUCUGCUGACUGCAGUGCAGUUAUAUGCAGUACGGCAGGGAGGACAGGAGGCUUUGCUGAUGCUUUCCUGGAAGAGCAGGGCAGAUGUCUCCAAAAAGCUGAAGAAGCCUCACAGCAGAUUGUGUACCCUGGAGCCCUUCUUCCUUUCAGCUGCAUAAGGUCUGGCUCCAGGAUGUUCACCAGCAGUGAUGGUUGUGGAGCAGUGUGAGCAGAAAAGCUGCAAGACAUUUGGAGAUCAAGAUAUGACAGUUGUCAGUAAGAUAUCACUUGGAGGCACCAGGAAUGCUCAGUGAUUGCACCCCUGUGUUAGUGAUCAGCCUCACUUUAGGGCUGAUAUCGGGCCUUUCCCCAGUAUACAGGAAAAUCUGACCCAUUCCUGUGAUGCUAGCAAGUUUGGAAAUCAUUUGACACGAGAAGUGUCCAGAUGUAUCUGCUCCAUCAUGCUCAUGUCCUUUCGCGUGUGUUGCAACAAAAAUAUUUUUUCAGCAAGAUUUUGGAGCAAGAUUUAUUUUUAGUUUCUUUUAAGGCAAUUUGGAGCCAGAAAUGAACAAAAAAGCCUCCAAACCCCAAAUGAAACAGCGCGACUGAACAAAGGGGCUCUUGUUUAUAAACUUCAAUUUUAAGGGUUUAUUGCACAUUCUACUGGAACAGUUUUUCAUCUUUCACUUGCACAGUCCAAUUUUUUAAAUACUAACCUAUUCAAGAAGCAAGUACUUUCUACUGCUGUUUUGAGCAUCUUUUCAAUGCCGUGUCUCCAGUUCCCAAAAGCUAAACAUACUACUCUCCCAUGCACUGAUCCUCUUCAGUAACAUUUCCAAAGUGAAAAAUAAAACAGUGUUUCAAUAUGCCAAGGAACAAAGUCAAAGAGGCUGAGCUGAAUCUGUCCCGUAAUCUGUCAGCUGCAGAGCCUUCAUCGCUUAAUGAACCUCACCUCAUGUUUCUGCCACUUUGCAGCACAAGAACAGGACUCUGAUUCAGAAAAAAACAACCCAGAAACAACAACAACAAAAAAAUCCCUCUCCCCCACACCCCCUCAAUUUCCCUUUGAAUCUAGACAGAGUCUAGCCAGGAGAAAAAUUUUCUCUGCACUUCUACCUUAAUAUUUCUGUCUGCAUUGCUUUGCUGUUCUCUGCCGCCAAAGCUAAGUGUUUGCUGAAUUAAAUAAACCAUGCAGCGUUGACAGAGCUUGUGAAUGCUGCCAUUGUCACGAGAAUCCAUUCGCUGACUCGACCCCAAAUCCUAGCGCCAAUUUUGUACAUAUUGGUGCGGUAGUGAGCGAACAUGAAUCGAUCAUGUUUAUGAGGCUAAGAGGUUCUACAAAAAGUCAUUUUAUAGGCUGUUUUUGUCACUGUGUGCCAAAACUUCAGGUCUGGUUUGGUCUGGUUUGGAAUCAGUUCUGUGUGUCAGGAAAGGUUUUUACAUUACUAAAUGCUCAGUGAAUUAGAACCAUGUUAGAGAGAAACUUUUCAUCCUACAUCUGACAUAAAAACAGUUGGUUUCAUUUGCACGUUAGUUAAAAGUCGUGGACUUAAUGGGUUUCCAGUGUCUGCAUGAUGCAAUAGGGGGUGGUGCGAGAAAAUCAUUUUUUCCUAUCUGUACUAUGGGAAGACUGUAGGGCUGAUACAGUGUAAAGUCUGUAAGAUGAAAAAUUAGUGCAAUUUCUGACAAGAUAAGUUUCCUAAGGACCUUGAGAGGAGAGGUCUGAUUUUUCAUCACCAAACCAUAAUACAGCUCCCCUACUUUUUCAUGUCCUAAAUGCCUCUGCCUUGUUUAUUCCAGAACCAAAGAACCUUCUGCCCUACUGAGAAGCACACAUGUGAAAUUGGAGCUACUGGUUUUGUAUGAAGCCUGGAAACAAAUGUAUGCAUCUCCGGCUUCAGCUGCUCUUUGUAAGACUACCCAAGAACACCCUGCCUCACGCACCUCACUGUUAUUUCCUCCAGCACCUUUUCUUUCCCCUCUUUUUGUGCCUGCAAAACAGCAGCAGCAGAGACCUUCUGGAGGCUAUGGCUUGAGCUGAUGCUUCAGACCAGUACUUAAGUUCCAGAAGUUUUACUGGCUUCAGGUUUUCGGUUUCUCUUUUCAAGUAAUGGCAUGUGAUGGUACAAUAACAUUUUUUUAGCGAUGUUUUCCUUUUGGCUUUGUUUUCCAGUUGCACAGAGGGCUGUUGUGCAGCUGACUCACCCCAUCUUUAGAUGCUGUCCUUCAUGGAGGUGCGUCUCACCCCAGAACAACGCUUUCAGCCCUAUGCUUAAGGAUCAUCAGAGUGGUGCAUCUGUUGCUUCAGCCAGUGGCUAUGCCAGACUCAAGAGAAAACACAUUGCUCCUUAAAUGAAGACAACUAUUAGAAAUAAAUUAGAGCAUCCAGAAAGCCGCCGUGCCUCCCUUCUGUUGAAAUGCAUUUCUUUUCUGGAAGCCCUCAUCACAUAAAGGAAAGGAACCACACGGCCCUAUUCCACAUAUCCCCUCCCUCUGUCUUUCUGCUGGAGAAAGGCACGUGUUCAGUGUCUGAGCUUUCCAGAGCAUGCUGCCGUCUACCUCACACCCAUUCGUUUAGCAAGGAAAAGCACAAUGCGUUUGCUGGCACAGCUCCCUGCUCUGCUCUUGACCAAGCAGAUGAGACUGAGCUAAGAGCUAAGCGAGUUAAUCCAAAGCCGUGUGGAUUGCACUGGAAGGGAACAACUGUGAUGAAGAUCCAUGUUUCAUUCAUAACAUUUUGUUUGGAGCACGUGGAAAGAAUUAGGAGCUACAUUUUCAUCUCGAUGAGCUGGGACUUGGGAGUGUGUAUUGAGACUUACGCAAGUGUGAAUUUGGUCUGAAACUAUUCUUCUUUCCUGUGCUUGUAGUUCUUCCAGCCCCCUGUGCUUCAUUUUGCCUGUGAUCUACCACUGAUGGUAGUCUUCCUUUCAUAUAGGAAGACUGCUUUGCAUGCAGAGCAAUGACAAGAUGACAAAAUACGGCAGGUUUGGUGAGGAGCGAUCUCUGAGGAGCUCUUUUAAAAGUUGGGACUGGACUUAGAGAUUUUCUUACAAGUAAGUUUAGAUCUUCCUUGCUUGAGUAAGUGGACAUUUUUCCCCUGAAACAGGUGAAAUAACAGACCUAUACUUGGGAUGUAAGGCUUAUGUAAUAUAGUUGCAAUUGUGACUUCAGUGACAUGUUUGCUUGCUCUGGGCUUUGUGAGCUGGAGGAGGCAUGGCUCACUGCUGUGGCAAAGGGCCUGAAUGACAGAGCUAGUAUUACUGAGGCCCUGAAGUGUGUCCAAAGAAGGUCAGCACAGCUGGUGAAAGGUCUGGAACAUCAUAAGUCUUAUGAGGAGCAGCUAAGGGAACAGGAAUUCUUUAGUCCAGAGAAGAGGAGGCUCAGAGGAGACCUUAUUGCUCUCUACAGCUACCUGAAAGGAUGAUGUGGAUGGCCUCUUCUUCCAGGUAACUACUGAUAGGAUGAGAGGGAAUUUGCACCAGGGGAGGU